rnacentral:rRNA from 1 species
AUUGAACGCUGGCGGCGUGCUUAACACAUGCAGGUCGAACGGUAAGGCCCUUCGGGGUACACGAGUGGCGAACGGGUGAGUAACACGUGGGUGAUCUGCCCUGCACUUCGGGAUAAGCCUGGGAAACUGGGUCUAAUACCGGAUAGGACCACUGCCUGCAUGGGUGGUGGUGGAAAGCUUUUGCGGUGUGGGAUGGGCCCGCGGCCUAUCAGCUUGUUGGUGGGGUGAUGGCCUACCAAGGCGACGACGGGUAGCCGGCCUGAGAGGGUGACCGGCCACACUGGGACUGAGAUACGGCCCAGACUCCUACGGGAGGCAGCAGUGGGGAAUAUUGCACAAUGGGCGCAAGCCUGAUGCAGCGACGCCGCGUGAGGGAUGACGGCCUUCGGGUUGUAAACCUCUUUCAGCACCGACGAAGCGCAAGUGACGGUAGGUGCAGAAGAAGGACCGGCCAACUACGUGCCAGCCGCCGCCGUAA